UAGCGAACGUCAAUCAACCCUAAACGACUGACAGGACCAGUUCAGAUCGAGAUGUGAACAGCACCGUGGUCACCAAUUCAUUUCGCCUCUAGAGUCGCUGCCAAAUUAAGAUAAGUGAAAAACACUGAUUGCCCAGUUACACAGAAAAAACUAGCUAGCUAUCAAGAGAAUUCGCGAGCCAUCUAACCAAAUAACUAUUGGAAAUGUCAUCUAACUGGCUGGCUAACCAGCCAGCUUAAAACAGUGCACAGUACUAGCCAAACAUCAUGGCUGAAAAACGACCAAACACCCCACACCAGCUAGCUGCUAAAUAGCAGGCUAGCACCGCAAACCAUCGGUUGCAUCCCACUCGCAAGUCACACAGCAGGACGUAACGGAUGACCUCGACAACAUGGACAGACCCCAGUUACACCUCCAACAUUGGCAAACACUAAAGAGAAUUGACGGUUUUGGAGCAAACCACAGAGGAAAGCUAACGUUCUAAUGUAUAUGACUGUCAAGCUACUCUAGCUAGUACAGGAUACAGUUAUUUAAAAUGUAUGCAAUAGCUAUCAGUAUCAACAUGUUUUAAGCAUACGUACUCUUUGAACUUGAGUAACAUCAAUGAAAAAUAUCAAUGACCUUACAUUACCCCCUGAAAAAAAUAUAAUGGUAUAGUCUCGCUUCCUGAUAGUUGUGCUGGGCACUUUCACAGAAAUCCAUGGUCAGAAGUUUGUGAUUUAGGCUGUUAUCAUUAUUAUGUUAACCUAAACACGCCGCUAUUUGCAUCGCUAUUAUACUGUAAUUUAUAGUCUGAAUAAACGAACUUGAGUAGA